GGGAAAGCCCCGGUGUUGGAGAACUUUCCAGUUGAAGAAGUACAAAGGACGAGUUGCGACACAAACACCUUUCCUUUCUCUGAUUGUUUCAGCACAACCAAAUACGUCGCUUAUUGGAACAUAUGGUAAAAGGCAACACAAAAGAAGUACAACAAUGAAGUGGCUCGACGGUAUUUAAAGGCUGGUGAUUAGCACGAUGGGCAUCAGUUAGCCAACUGUCUCAAACAUCGUAUACCAACUUCUCAACAUGCAGUUCUUCGUACUGGCCGCCUUGAUCACUGUCGCCGCAGCCAAUUCCGCUUACCCAGAAGGCUCAACGUAUCCAAUUUCAUUUUACAAUAGGCCUUCUUACUCGGCUUCAACUCACGAGACCGGGGAAUUCAAUCCAUCCAGAUCGUACGAGUACUUUAAGAAAAGCUAUUUGUUAAAUAUCUUUUAACAACAUUGACAACUUCUUGACAACCUCUGGCGGGACUUGAACCCGCAGUUCCCGGCUUAGGAGGCCGGUGCCAUAUCCAUUAGGCCACAGAGGCAUAUUUACUACAAAAUGGCGUGAAAAACAUUUCUUUUAACUUGCAAAAUUUCGAUUCUGAAUUGAAAAUGCGGUUUUCAAUACACACUUUUUGGCAAUAAAA